CCAGGUGAGAACGAUGGAGGCUUGAUCCAGGGCUGUGUCAGUGGAGAUGGAGAGAGAGAGACAGGUUGAGAGAUAUUUAGGUUCGAGACAUGUGACUUAGGGAUGUGGAGAUGGUGUGUCAAGUGUGUCCCUAGGUUUCUGGCCGCAGAUGGAGGUACCACUCUGAACUUGGGGAAGGACCCAGCGGGUCCCUUGUCUUCUCUUGUUUCACACCCCCACUUCUGUUUCCCCCCCCAUCCAAAGAUAUUGAAGCUGUUCCCUUAUGUAAAACCUUUAAUCCCAGACUUCCUGUGCUCUGUGCACUCAGCAAUUAAUUAAGCUUUGGUAUGCAUGAGUUAAUUAAAAUCCUCUCUCUGUUUCAGAGGGGCUGUCCUGAAGACAGGACAUAUAUAUAUGUCCUCAUAUAUAUCUACCUUCUUCCUGGGGCUGAUUGCCUUGGCUGGGGGAACUCCUCUGCUUCCCCAUGGGCACACAGCUGUGGCUGUCUGUCUGUCCUACCUGUCAGCACAAUUUAAUUGCAUGUUUAGGAGCUCAGGUCUAGAGAUGUUAAUGACUUGUAAAUUGCUCUCCAACACAGAGCUAGAAAUAGAAAGGCAAGAAGGAUUCCCGAGCACUUGCACAGAUUUACUGACGGAGAUGUCAGCCCCAAAGUGGAUUGCCGAAAUAGUGGUUUCCCUUCCCAUUCCUGGACAGCCACCGUGGUGUAAUUUUCUGAUGUGACGGCUGAGACAUGAGAUCUUCAGCCUCCAGGCUCUCCAGUUUUUCAUCAAGAGAUUCACUAUGGAAUCGGAUGCCGGACCAGAUCUCCGUCUCCGAGUUUAUCGCCGAGACCACCGAGGACUACAACUCGCCCACCACGUCCAGCUUCACCACGCGGCUGCACAACUGCAGGAACACCGUGACGCUGCUGGAGGAGCAAAGACCAUCUUUUUCCGUUAAAAGUCUCCCUGAGGAAGAGUCGCUCGCUAUUGGUUCAGCUUGUCUCGCCUUCCUUGGACUUGAGGACUCAUUUCCCGCUCUCUCCUCGGGCGUUCCUGACUGCUGCACGGCCCGGCGGGGGGGCUGAGGUGCCCAGUGGUGCUCGGGUGCCCCCUCCCCCCACCCCAGGGAGUUUAAUCGUCAGGCCGUCCCCCCCAGUUCGGGCUCAAGCACUUAGCAGAGCCCAGCGACAGCUGGCCUGGGCUGGGGAGUGGGGGGGCUGCCAGGGAGGCCUGUGGCGUGUCGGAGCCACGAGCUGGCCAGAGCGGCCAUAGGAGGCCGGCGCUGGCGUGGCAGGGAAGUGGCGACUGCUGUCCUCGGUUUGCAGCUGGGGUAACCCAGCCUCAGAGCUGUCGCGCGGUCGGGAGGUGACGGUACCGGGGCCGCUGCCGCCCAGCACGUACAUCGUCCACCACACCCCCUUGCCGGCUUCUAAUAGCAGGAAUGAGGAAGUUCCACAAAACUGUGCGUGGCCAGCCAGAGUCCACGCGGACAGUGCAGAAAGCUGGCCGGGCGGCUGUGGGCACUCCAGCCGCGGGGGGUGACGUCCUUGGAGGAGCGCCCCCUCUGUUUACCUGGCACGCGUCUUCAGUUGCUGCUGCCGGCUACCGUGUGGAGCACUCCCUGUAGGCAGGUGCUUUCAUCGUCGCCUUUAAUGUUUUGAAGGCACUUGCUGUGUGUUAGGUGCCAUCGACUGCAUCCGCUCACCCCCCACAGCCACCAUUUACGGUGGAACUCCAUAUAUGUGGGCCUCAGUAGCUCUGCUUGGUUUAUGGGACAAUGUUCACUCUCCUUUGGCCGCCAGACCUAGAGCCUUGUGCCCCUCUGCCCUCCUCUCCUGCUGCCUGAAGGCGCGGGAGCAACUGGAAAGCGUCCUGCUGUUUCGAGUCUCCUGGCCUCCUCCCCCACUUUCUUCCCCCUGGACCAGAUGAGCACCUACUCAUCUUUCUGGACUGAGCUCAGAUGUCACCACUGGAAAAGACCUUUCCCAGCUGUUGUUCCCUGUCUUUGUGUACACCUGGCCCAGCACCUGUGGGGCUUCUUGGGACUUUGCUGGUGGUGGUGGAUGCCUUCUGUAGUCUCAGCUUCUGCGGGACAGCACCAUGCUCGCCGCGUAACGGGUCCUCCAGAAAUAGUGCUGAAUGAAUAAAUACAUCUAAUAGUCUGUGAUGGAGCUUCAUUUUAUCAAUAUGAUCCGUGAAAAUAUUAAACUUUUGAUAUUGUGACCAUUGGAUAUAAACCUUUCUGCUUCAGGAUGGGAAAUGCCCUGUCAUAACUUUUUUAUUAUUAUUUUUAUUAUAACCGUGCCUGUUUAUUGUAGAAAUAGAGGAGAAAAUAAAAGUCGCCUCUAAUUCCAUCACCUGAAGAUGAUCAAAGUUAGUAUUUUGGGUUAUAAUUCUUUGGAAAAUGACCUUUUAAGUAAUCCAACUGGUUUGGAUGGGGGAGAGCAUUUAGGAAGUGAGAGGUAGAAAGAUAGUCUACAGCAGAUGUAUCAUCGUAAUUUCCCCUUGAGGUUUGAGAGCAUGACUGGUUUGGCCUCCAAACAAACGUUCAUCGUGAAAGGUUGAACGGUUUCAUGCUAGAAUCUUUGUGAAUGUUGUUAUUUCUAGUUCUUUCUGUAAUGUGAAGACAUUUUCCUUAGACCACUCGUCACUUUAUUUUCCCAUUUUAAAAGACAUUUCUGGACUUCCCUGGUGGCGCAGUGGUUGAGAGUCCGCCUGCCGAUGCAGGGGACACGGGUUUGUGCCCCAGUCCGGGAGGAUCCCGCAUGCCGCGGAGCGGCUGGGCCCGUGGGCUGUGGCCGCUGAGCCUGCGCGUCCGGAGCCUGUGCUCCACAACGGGAGAGGCCACAGCAGUGAGAGGCCCGCGUACCGCAAAAAAAAAAAAAAA